AGAGAGUCAGCCUGCGGACUAAAAGGUCCCAGGUUCGAUUCCCGUCAAGGGCAUGUACCUUGGUCGCCGGCACAUUCCCAGUAAGGGGUGUGCAGGAGGCGGCUGAUUGAUGUUUCUCUCUCAUCCUAUGUUUCUAACUCUCUAUCCCUCUCCCUCCUUCUCUGUAAAAAAAAAUCAAUAAAAUAUAUAUUUUUAAAAACAACAAUA